rnacentral:sRNA from 1 species
GUUUCACCCUCAGCUAACUACAUUUUGUACAGAACUAACAGGAAUCAUACAGGCUAUGGUAGACAAUCAGCCACAUUUGCCUCAAGUUUUACAGAGCUUUCAUGAGUGGAUGUCAAGUGAAGGUUUGUUAGAUCCUAAAACCAAAAGUAUUUUUGUAACUUGUGGUGAUUGGGACCUCAAAACAAUGUAAGUAUGAUGUAAACAGAUCAAUGGUAUUCAGCUUUUUGGUUAUAUUUUCACCAUUUUCAUAUCCAUA